rnacentral:rRNA from 1 species
CGGUACGCCAACCGCAAGGAGGCAGCCGCUCAAGGAGUGACUGGUAACUGGGGUG